UCUUUAGGUUCAGUAAGUAAGGAUACAGACAGGAAGUGAGGUACAACUACUAUACCGUCUCUUUAGGUUCAGUAAGUAAGGAUACAGACAGGAAGUGGGUUACAACUACUAUACCGUCUCUCUUUAGGUUCAGUAAGUAAGGAUACAGACAGGAAGUGAGGUACAACUACUAUACCGUCUCUCUUUAGGUUCAGUAAGUAAGGAUACAGACAGGAAGUGAGAGACAACUACUAUACCGUCUCUCUUUAGGUUCAGUAAGUAAGGAUACAGACAGGAAGUGAGGUACAACUACUAUACCGUCUCUCUUUAGGUUCAGUAAGUAAGGAUACAGACAGGAAGUGGGUUAAAACUGCUAUACCGUCUCUCUUUAGGUUCAGUAAGUAAGGAUACAGACAGGAAGUGAGUUACAACUGCUAUACCGUCUCUCUAUAGGUUCAGUAAGUAAGGAUACAGACAGGAAGUGGGUUACAACUACUAUACCGUCUCUCUUAGGUUCAGUAAGUAAGGAUACAGACAGGAAGUGAGAGACAACUCCUAUACCGUCUCUUUAGGUUCAGUAAGUAAGGAUACAGACAGGAAGUGAGAGACAACUGCUAUACCGUCUCUCUUUAGGUUUAGU